CCUACGGGAGGCUGCAGUGGGGAAUAUUGCACAAUGGGGGAAACCCUGAUGCAGCGACGCCGCGUGAAGGAAGACGUAUUUCGGUAUGUAAACUUCUAUCAGCAAGGAAGAUAAUGACGGUACUUGACUAAGAAGCCCCGGCUAACUACGUGCCAGCAGCCGCGGUAAUACGUAGGGGGCAAGCGUUAUCCGGAUUUACUGGGUGUAAAGGGAGCGUAGGCGGCCAUGCAAGUCAGAAGUGAAAGCCCGGGGCUCAACCCCGGGACUGCUUUUGAAACUGCAAGGCUAGAUUACCGGAGAGGUAAGUGGAAUUCCUAGUGUAGCGGUGAAAUGCGUAGAUAUUAGGAGGAACACCAGUGGCGAAGGCGACUUACUGGACGGUUAAUGACGCUGAGGCUCGAAAGCGUGGGGAGCAAACAGGAUUAGAUACCCUGGUAGUC
rnacentral:rRNA from 1 species